rnacentral:tRNA from 1 species
ACAGUAGUAGUUCAGUGGUAGAAUUCUUGCCUUCCAUGUGUGAGUCCCAGGGUCGAUUCCUGGCCAGUGCA